rnacentral:rRNA from 1 species
AGCCCAACACCUAGCCCAACCACUACAAAACUCGAAUAGACCAAAAAUCUACUCCCAGAUUAAACUAAAACAUUCUUGUAACCUAGUAUAGGCGAUAGAAAAGUUCACAUGGCGCGAUAGCGAGAUAGUACCGUAAGGGAAAGAUGAAAUAACAAUGAAAACUAAAGCAAAAAACAGCAAAGACAAACCCUUGUACCUCUUGCAUCAUGGUUUAGCAAGAACAACCAAGCAAAACGACCUUAAGCUUGCCCCCCCGAAACCCAAGCGAGCUACUAACGAGCAGCUACCCUUGAGCGAACCCGUCUCUGUUGCAAAAGAGUGGGAUGAUUCGUUAGUAGAGGUGAAAAGCCUACCGAGCUGGGUGAUAGCUGGUUGCCUGUGAAUUGAAUCUAAGUUCACUCUUAAUCCACCUCCACGGCACAUAGACCAUACCUCCAUGUAGAAGAUCAAGAGCAAUUCAAAGGAGGUACAGCUCCUUUAAAAAAGAACACAAUCUCCCCCAGCGGAUAAUCACCCAAUACAUUCUCAACCUGUGGGCCUUAAAGCAGCCACCAACAAAGAGUGCGUCAAAGCUCGCAUCCAAAAAAAUCUGAAAACAACAUGACUCCCUCAACCACAACAGGCCAACCUAUCACAAUAGGAGAAUCAAUGCUAAAACGAGUAACCUAGGGACCACCCUCUAUAGGCGCAAGCUUACAUCUCCCAUUAUUAACAGACCCACAUAAUGCCACAACUUCAACAAGACCACAUAUUAACUCCCCCUCUGUUAACCCGACCCAGGAGCGCCAACCAGAAAGAUUUAAAUCUGCAAAAGGAACUAGGCAAACAAGAGGCCCGACUGUUUACCAAAAACAUAGCCUUCAGCCCACCAAGUAUUGAAGGUGAUGCCUGCCCAGUGACACCACGUUCAACGGCCGCGGUAUCCUAACCGUGCAAAGGUAGCGCAAUCAAUUGUCUCAUAAAUCGGGACUUGUAUGAACGGCUAAACGAGGUCUCAACUGUCUCUUGCAGACAAUCAGUGAAACUGAUCUUCCUGUGCAAAAGCAGGAAUAAACACAUAAGACGAGAAGACCCUGUGGAACUUAAAAAUCAGCAGCCACCCUACUAAACUCAAACCUACAAGGUUCACUGGACUUAAAACAUAUUGGCUUGCAUUUUUUGGUUGGGGCGACCUUGGAGAAAAACAGAACCUCCAAAAACAAGACCACACCUCUUACCCAAGAGCAACACCUCGACGUACAAACAGUAACCAGACCCAGUACAACUGAGCAGUGAACCAAGCUACCCCAGGGAUAACAGCGCAAUCUCCCUCAAGAGCCCCUAUCGACAGGGAGGUUUACGACCUCGAUGUUGGAUCAGGACAUCCUAAUGGUGCAGCCGCUAUUAAGGGUUCGUUUGUUCAACGAUUAACAGUCCUACGUGAUCUGAGUUCAGACCGGAGCAAUCCAGGUCGGUUUCUAUCUAUGAUUAACUUUCCCUAGUACGAAAGGACCGGAAAAGUAAGGCCAAUACCACAAGCACGCCUUCCCUAUAAGUAAUGUACCCAACUAAAUUACCAAAAGGAUAACCACUUCACACCCUCACCCUAAAAAAGGGUC